rnacentral:rRNA from 1 species
CAGAGUUUGAUCCUGGCUCAGAUUGAACGCUGGCGGCAUGCCUUACACAUGCAAGUCGAACGGCAGCACGGGGGCAACCCUGGUGGCGAGUGGCGAACGGGUGAGUAAUGCAUCGGAACGUGCCCAGUAGUGGGGGAUAACCCGGCGAAAGCCGGGCUAAUACCGCAUACGACCUACGGGUGAAAGCGGGGGACCGUAAGGCCUCGCGCUAUUGGAGCGGCCGAUGUCUGAUUAGCUAGUUGGCGGGGUAAAGGCCCACCAAGGCGACGAUCAGUAGCUGGUCUGAGAGGACGACCAGCCACACUGGGACUGAGACACGGCCCAGACUCCUACGGGAGGCAGCAGUGGGGAAUUUUGGACAAUGGGCGCAAGCCUGAUCCAGCCAUGCCGCGUGCGGGAAGAAGGCCUUCGGGUUGUAAACCGCUUUUGGCAGGAACGAAACGGCGCGGGUGAAUACCCCGCGUUAAUGACGGUACCUGCAGAAUAAGCACCGGCUAACUACGUGCCAGCAGCCCCGGUCAA